rnacentral:tRNA from 1 species
AGGAGUGUAGCUUAGUUUGGUAAAGCACUUGAUUCCAAAUCAAAAGACCGAAGGUUCGAGUCCUUUCAUUCCUG